rnacentral:rRNA from 1 species
UACGGAGGGAGCGAACGUUGUUCGGAUUCACUGGGCGUAAAGGGCGUGUAGGCGGUCUGGCAAGUCAGGGGUGAAAUCCCAGGGCUCAACCUCGGAACUGCCUUUGAUACUGCGAAUCUCGAGUCCGGAAGAGGUGAGUGGAAUUCCUAGUGUAGAGGUGAAAUUCGUAGAUAUUAGGAAGAACACCAGUGGCGAAGGCGGCUCACUGGUCCGGUACUGACGCUGAGGUGCGAAAGCGUGGGGAGCAAAC